rnacentral:rRNA from 1 species
ACUGCUCAGUAACACGUAGUCAACAUGCCCAGGGGACGUGGAUAACCUCGGGAAACUGAGGAUAAACCGCGAUAGGCCAUGAUUUCUGGAAUGGUUCAUGGCUGAAAUCUAUAUGGCCCCUGGAUUGGACUGCGGCCGAUCAGGCUGUUGGUGAGGUAAUGGCCCACCAAACCUGUAACCGGUACGGGCUCUGAGAGGAGGAGCCCGGAGAUGGGCACUGAGACAAGGGCCCAGGCCCUAUGGGGCGCAGCAGGCGCGAAAUCUCUGCAAUAGGCGAAAGCUUGACAGGGUUACUCUGAGUGAUUCCCGCUAAGGGGAUCUUUUGGCACCUUUAAAAAUGGUGCAGAAUAAGGGGUGGGCAAGUCUGGUGUCAGCCGCCGCGGUAAUACCAGCACCCCGAGUGGUCGGGACGAUUAUUGGGCCUAAAGCAUCCGUAGCCGGUACUGCAAGUCUUCCGUUAAUCCACCCGCUUAACGGAUGGGCUGCGGGGGAUACUGCAGAGCUAGGAGGCGGGAGAGGCAAACGGUACUCAGUGGGUAGGGGUAAAAUCCUUUGAUCUACUGAAGACCACCAGUGGCGAAGGCGGUUUGCCAGAACGCGCUCGACGGUGAGGGAUGAAAGCUGGGGGAGCAAACCGGAUUAGAUACCCGGGUAGUCCCAGCUGUAAACGAUGCAGACUCGGUGAUGGGUUGGCCUCGAGCCAACCCAGUGCCGCAGGGAAGCCGUUAAGUCUGCCGCCUGGGGAGUACGGUCGCAAGACUGAAACUUAAAGGAAUUGGCGGGGGAGCAC